ACCUCGCUUUUCUUAACACACUCCUUGGCUCCACCGCGCCGCUGGCCCCGGGAGGAGUCUGGCAGCAUCCAGUGGAGGUGACGUGGGUCUUCCCUUUAUAGUAAUUGGUUGAACUAUACAUUUAUGCUUUAUAUACUUCCCAGCAUAUAGGCUAAUAAUUUUAAAAGUAUGCUAAAGAAAAGAAAAAAUAGGAGUUCCCUCUGUGGUACAAGAGGAUCAGAGGUGUCUUGGGAGGGCUGGGAUGCAGGUUUGACCCCUGGCCCAGCACAGUGGGUUAAGGAUCCAGCGCUGCCACAGCUGCAGCUCGGAUCUGAUCCCUGGCCUGGGAACUCCAUGUGCCAUGUGCAUGGGGCGGCCAAAAAGAGAAAAAGUCCUAGUGAUCUUUCCAUGACUCCAUCUCUCCAAAGCACAGCCCUGCAGCUUUAGCAGCUGUGUGGAAGAGCCAUGAUGCCUUGAGCCAGUCCCCACGGGGCCAGGUCAGCGGUGUCCAGGCAUUUGCUCUUCCAAAUGGUGCAGCAAUGAUUAUCGUGUGCAGGUGUCACUUCACAGGUGUGCCGGCGUGUCUGUGGGCACCUUGCCUCGGAGUGGGAUUGCCAGGCAAAGUUCAGCACUGCCAAGCUGCCUGCUCUCAGCCCCUCCCUUGACCUCACAGCCCAGGCUGCUGUCAAAGUCUCUGAUCUUUUUUUGUUGUUGUUGUUUUUAAAUAUAUAUAUAUAUUUUCAUCAUUUUUAAAAACUUUUAUUGAAGUAUAGUUGAUUUACAACGUUGUGGACAAUUUCUGCUACACAUCAAAGUGAUUCAGUUAUCCAUGCACACACAUCCAUUCUCUUUCGGAUUCUUCUCCCGCAUAGAUGAUCACAGAAUACUGGGGAGAGUCCUGUGCUGUUCAGCAGGUCCCUGCUGGCCAAUCAUUCCACAGACCUCAGGGUGCACAUGCCAAUCCCAAACCCCCAGUCCAUCCACCGCCCCCUUCGCCUGUCCCCUUUUCAAAGUCCGUGAGUGUGUUUCUAUUCUGCAAAUUUCAUCUGCAACCUUUUUUAGAUUCCACAUAUAAGUGAUAUCACAUGACGUUUGUCUUUCACUGUCUGACUCACUUCACUUACUAUCAGGAUCUCUAGGUCCAUCCAUGUUGCUGCAAAAGCCUGUGAUCUUUGCAGGCCAGAGAGGUGAAGUCUGGCCCCUCUCAGCCUGCUUUUCCCAUGCAGUUUUCUACUCAGUAACUGCGCCUCCUUUCAUAUCAAAAACCCCAUCAGAAUUCCUUUGUUGCUAAAUGUGUCUUCAAAAUGUUUGCCUACUUUUCUGCGAGGUCAGGAAGACCUUUGUCAACCCACCCCAGCUACUCCCACUUCUCCAGCCUCAUCCUCACUCUCCAGCCCUGGCUCCUUCCCACGCCUCUCUCUGGAUUCUGUCAACAGAAAUGCAAUGCGUGUCCACCACCUGCCAUCCAGGCUGGGGUGGGGGCGCAGCAUGGUCUCUGCCCUGGGGGGCUUGUGGUCCAGGAUCACAGAUGAGACGCGAAAUUCCAGCUGAGACGGGCUGGCUGGAGGGAUGAGAGCACGAGGAAGCCAGGCUGGAGGAGGGCAGGAGCCAGGCCACGGGGUAGGUGGGGAGCCCAGGCAGGCACUGGGGACGGACCUCCAUUUGGAAGAUGUAACUCUGGCUGCCUUGCCGGUGGAGGACGGGAUCAAGUAGGUCCCGAGAGGGCAUGGGGACAAGUGGAAAGACUAAUGUGCUCCAGACAACUGAAGGAGGCGGCACGACGGCUGGACACGGAGAGAGGAGCGCAGACCAGAACUAUGUUUGUCAAAAGAAAAAAGCAGCUCCUGCGGAUGAGUCAGAUACGGGGGCUGAGGGCAAGGCAGGUGCCAAGGGUGACUGUGAAAGUGGGUUAAGCCGCAGUGCCAUCUUCCACACAAGGGAGCCUGAGAGGAGCUCCCAAAAUGCCACGCCCCAGGCCCCAGAAUCUCAACUGUGAAAAAGAUGGAAAGUGAGACACCGACAGUAAGGCCCACUGCACUGCUAUGGUCAUCAGGACAGCGGUGGUCAAUACCCUGGCCAGUGAACGAAUGGAGAACCCAGACACAUGCCCACACAGAUGCACCCAAGGGGGUCUGAAAACAUUGAUUUUUUUCAUUGUGGUAAAAUACACUUAAUGCCUGCCAUCGUAACCAUUUGCGAGGUGUACACUCCAACAGAGUUACAUACACUCACAGUGUCGUACAACCACCAUCACUGCCUGUACCUCAAACUCCGUCACCACUUCCAACCAAAUCCAUGUGCCCAUUAAACAACAGCGCCCCAUGCCCUCCUUCCCCAUGGCCCCUGGGAACCUCGGGAGGUGGUCAGGACAUACUUUCUCUAUGAGUUUGCCCACUCUGGGUACCUCAUAUAAGUGAACUCUUACCAUAUUUCUCGCAUGUCUGGCUUAUUUCACUGAGCUUAAUGCUGUCAAGGUCCAUCCACGCUGCAGCACACAUCAACACUCCAUUCCUUUUUAAUGGCUGAAUAAUAUUCCAUUGUGCAGAGGCACCAAAUUUUGUUUAUCCAUUCGUCUGUUGAUAGAUACUUGAGUUGUUUCCACUUCUGAGCUAUUGUGAAUAAUGCAACUAUGAACGGUGGUGUACAAAUACCUGUUCAAGUCUGUCCUUUUUAUUCUUUUGGUUAUGUACCCAGGACUCAAAUUGCUGGGUGAUACGGUAGUUCUAUAUGUAACCAAACUGUUUUUCCACAGCGGCUGCACGAUUUUACAUUCCCACCAGCAAUGCACAAGGGCUCCAAUUUCUCUACAUCCUCAUCAAUACUUGUUAUUUCCAAUGUUGGGGGGAUAACAGCCAUCCUGGUAGGGGUGAAGUGAUAUCUCAUUGUGGUAACUUAUUUUUGACAAUGAAGCAUAAGCAAUUCAACAGAGGAAAGACAGCGUUCGAAACCAAUGGUACUGGAACAACUGGACAUCCACGCGCUAAAACAGGAACCUCCAUCAAAGCCUCACACUUUGCACAAAUUAGCUCAUGACAGAUCACAGACUUCAACGUAAAAUGUAAAACUUGAAAACCUUUAGAAAACAUGGGAUGGAGGGCUAGGUACAGAAUUCUUAGACUUGACACCAAAAGCACAACCCCAAAGGAAAAUUAAUAAUGCAGACCUCAUCAAAAUGAAAAACUUCUGCUCUGCUCUGCAGAAGUCCACGUGAAGAGGACAAAAAGCUACCGAUGGGGAGAAAAUAUGUGCAAACCACGUAUCUGACAAAGGACUAAUAUCUAAAAGAGUUAAGGAACUCUCAACUCUCAACAGUAAAAAACCCAAACCAUCCAAUUAGAAAAUGGGCAGCAGACAUUUCACCAAAGAGGAUACACGGAUGGCAGAUAAGCUCGUGAAAGGAUGCUCAACAGCAUCAGCCCCUAGAGAAAAGCAAAUUAAAGCCACGAUGGGUUAUCAUGAUACGACUAUUAGAACAGCUAAACUAAAAAAGAGCGUUAACACCAAUUGCUGGUGAGCAUGUGGUAAAACGGAUCGCUCAUACACUGCUGGUGAGAACAUAAAACGGUACCGCAUUCUGGAAAACAGUUUGGCAGUUUCUUUAAACAUGCUUCCCAGCACUUGCACUUGUGGGCAUUGAAAAUGAAAAUUUACAUUCCCACAAAAGCCGGUAUGAGACUGUAGAUGGCAGCAUUAUUUCUACCAG
ensembl:lncRNA